rnacentral:lncRNA from 1 species
UUCAAACCAUAGCACCUGCUUAUAUAUUUUCUUUUGAAAGAGGAUGAUUUUUAAAUUGCAUCGCACCUGUUCAAAAGCUGAGAGGAAGCACGGAGACCACAUACUGGAGAUGGUGCCUGGUGCUGGGCUGGCUGAAUACAAAACCAGGGGAAAAAGAUGCGGUCACUGUCCUCACAGAACUGAAGGUCUAGCCAAGGAGACAAACAACUGAAAAAGCAAACUAAGUGUCCAGGCAAAGUAUACAGGGGUGCUUUGCUAGUGAGUACAUUGCAGCAAUAAUUAAUCUAGCAUAAGAAGGCUCAGAAAGAAAAUGACUUUAAAGCCAAGUUCAAAAAGAUGUGUAGGACUUUCCCAGAGAUAGAGCUGCUGGGAGUGGAGAGUAUGAGGUGUUCUAAGUACAGUUAAAGCAAAGGCCUGGAGGAAGGAAAUGUCCCACUGAAUGAAGUUCCUUGUCUUGUGUAGUGAGAGGCAAGGAGGGGUUAAGGAAGGAGGCUGAAGAGGAAGACAGACACAAGUAAAGAAGUGCCUGCUAAAACCUACCAAGAACCCUGAGUUUUAUUCCAACAGUGAUGGGAGAUGAUUGAAAGACUUUGAGAAGGGGAUUCAGAUUUUCACUUUAGAAGAUCCCUCUGGCUAUAAGUGAACAAUGGACUGAGGAAGGACAAGAUGGGGUGGAUCAACUCAUUCCAGGAAGUUAUUGCACAAAUAUGGACAAAAUGCACAAUUGCAUAGGCUGGCUGCUUUGGCACUGACAAGGGUGAACUCCACUCACUGGGACCUCCUGCACUGGGAUAAGGAGCAUGCAGGAGCUGGAAUGAGUGCUUUUGGGCACUGGCAGGAGUGAACUUUGUACUGGCCCUGUGGCAGCAUCUGGGGCUAGGGGGUGCCUGUGAUCUCCAAAGACCCAGAGGAAGUGUCACAGUACUCUUUUAGCUCUGCCAUUUGCAGGAAUAAAUUGAAGAUGGUAAAUGUGGGGGAUUUUAUUGCCCAUGAAAGUGGCUGUCAGCUGGAAGGGGAACUGAAAAGGGGAUAGAGUAGGAAGGUCCUCUUGUCCAGCCAUCUCUGGCCAGAUUCUUCUCUGAAGUUACACCAUCAAGCUGUCCCUCUGAAGUCAAGCUGCUUCUCUCUGACCAACUGUAGUCUCCAACGUCCAGUUUCUUCUCCCCUUUCUGCCAGCUGAGCCUGAGGUUUUUAUGGACACAGGAUGUGGGGCAAGGUGGGCAUGGGUGGUUUUGGAAAAGGCAAUAUUUAAGCAGGAAAACAGGGAUGUAAGUCCUCACUUUGGGCCACAGUUUCAGGCUUGAGGGUGGGGCUCUUGCCGGGGACCCACCCUCUUCUGCCCAUAAUUUCCCUGCCUCCUGUCCCUGUCACUUGGAGGUGGAAUGAACUAAAUUCAGUGGAGUGUGGUGAGGGGAGGGGAAUGAGUGAGAAGCAAGGAUCUAGGAUGACUCUCAGUUUCUGGGUGAACCAUUUUCUGAGAAAAUAUGCUUGAAGAGAAAAACAGAUUUGAAGGGAAGAUGAUGGGUUUUCAGCAGACUGGGCUGUUCAGACAGGAAUAAUACAGGGUGGUCACAGCAGUUUCACAUGACUAGAUGCUACGGGCUGAUAAGACCCUGAAAAACAGGAUGUGGGCCAAGCUGGCUAAGACUGACUGGAACCAACAUGGGCUGGAUUUGACCUAGGUUCCACCGAGAACCUCAUUAUAUGCUCAUUUACAUAAUUACCCAACCACCAGUGCCAUGACAGUUCCAGGAACACCCAUAUUUGGUGUAAAAAUGGGCGACUCCACAAUUCCAAGAAAUCUCCACUUUUUCCAGGAAUUUUCAUGAAUAUCCCAUCCCUUGGUUAAAUAAAUUCAUAAAGAAAGAUACCCUAAACCCCACUGGGUGACUCUGUCUUGAGUACAUCUACACUCUCCUUGCUUGAGUGUGUACUUUUCCCAUUACAAUAAAUCUCUGUACUUUCACUAUUUUCAGAUUUAUCCUUGAAUUCUUUCUUACAGUGGUGUUAAGGGCCUGGAAACUGGUUGGAGUCGAGGUCUCACCAGCAUUUGGACCUCCCCCAGCCCACCAGUAUCACUUUCACCAUAGAAUUAUCAUGGGACGAAAAACCAUGCAGGAUGGAAGGGUUUAGUCCCAGUAGAUACCCAGGACUUGAAUGGCCCAAUGAAUUUCAGAUGGAAUGAAAACCCAGUGGAUUUUUAAACUCAAUUAUAUUUGGUAAAACAUGACUGUAUGGGUUCUAAGAGAAAAGUGUUUGGUGGACUCUACAGUGAGAUUCUAGAAUUCAGGUCUCGUAUAAAUAAGAGAGCUUGGUUUUAUUUUAGCCUGUCCAAAAUCAUGCUGUGAAAAGUUUUGAUGAGGUAAGUGUAAAUAAAUCAGAAAACAUUGUAAAUGUUUACAUGAUCACUUGAAAAUGAAAAGAAAGAAUGUUUAGGACAAAGUACAUUCUUAGUUCUUUUGAACCAAAAAUAUUUCCACAAAGUAUAUAAAAUGUACAAAAACAGCCAAACUGAGGCCCAUCUGUCCUUAAUUAUAACAGAAUAACAUGAAAAGAAACCAAAAGACAUGACCCAACCUGCUUCCUUGAAUGGUAAUGAAAACCCAGUGAAACAUUCUUAUUUUCUGCUUUCUACCGCAGUGGGCAUCACAUUCUAAAGGGAUGAGAAAUACAGCAAUGUCGUUUAUUUCUUAAAGCAUGAUUGUUUUUGUAACAUGAUUUGUAACUGGGCUAAACUUGUAGAAUAAACUGGUACACUCUGACUCCACUUAGCUUCAGUUUUUAACUAAGCCUAGAAAAUAAGAGAGUGAAGCAUCACAUUGCUAUAAUUAGGGUCUCUAAAUAUGUAUGGUUUCAGAGAUACUAUAUCAUUAUACAGUAUGUACAAAGCUGGAAUAAAUACUAGGCUUUCUGAGCACAAUGCUUAUAAAACAACUAAUUGCAAUUUACCUUUGUUCUACUUGUGGGGUUUGUCUUAGUAUCUGCCAA